rnacentral:snRNA from 1 species
AUCUUUGCGCUUGGGGCAAUGACGCAGCUUAUGAGGUAAUAACCGAGGCGCGUCAAUUGCUGGUUGAAAACUAUUUCCAAACCCCCUCCUUGACUUUGGGUCUCCCUUAGUCAUCGAGAAUUUCUGGAAGGACUCCUUUUGAGGGGAAAAUCCUACAAUUUUUAGUU